GACGAACGCUGGCGGCGUGCUUAACACAUGCAAGUCGAACGAUGAAGCCGGAGCUUGCUCUGGUGAAUUAGUGGCGAACGGGUGAGUAACACGUGAGUAACCUGCCCUUGACUCUGGGAUAACUGCGGGAAACUGUAGCUAAUACCGGAUACGACCCUCGGAGGCAUCUCCUGGGGUGGAAAGAAUUUCGGUCAAGGAUGGACCCGCGGCCUAUCAGCUAGUUGGUGGGGUAAAGGCUCACCAAGGCGACGACGGGUAGCCGGCCUGAGAGGGUGACCGGCCACACUGGGACUGAGUCACGGCCCAGACUCCUACGGGAGGCAGCAGUGGGGAAUAUUGCACAAUGGGCGCAAGCCUGAUGCAGCAACGCCGCGUGAGGGAUGACGGCCUUCGGGUUGUAAACCUCUUUUAGCAGGGAAGAAGCGAAAGUGACGGUACCUGCAGAAAAAGCACCGGCUAACUACGUGCCAGCAGCCGCCGUAA
rnacentral:rRNA from 1 species